rnacentral:rRNA from 1 species
AUUGAACGCUGGCGGCAGGCCUAACACAUGCAAGUCGAGCGGAUGAAGCGAGCUUGCUCCUGGAUUCAGCGGCGGACGGGUGAGUAAUGCCUAGGAAUCUGCCUGGCAGUGGGGGAUAACGUCCGGAAACGGGCGCUAAUACCGCAUACGUCCUGAGGGAGAAAGUGGGGGAUCUUCGGACCUCACGCUAUCAGAUGAGCCUAGGUCGGAUUAGCUAGUUGGUGGGGUAAAGGCCUACCAAGGCGACGAUCCGUAACUGGUCUGAGAGGAUGAUCAGUCACACUGGAACUGAGACACGGUCCAGACUCCUACGGGAGGCAGCAGUGGGGAAUAUUGGACAAUGGGCGAAAGCCUGAUCCAGCCAUGCCGCGUGUGUGAAGAAGGUCUUCGGAUUGUAAAGCACUUUAAGUUGGGAGGAAGGGCAGUAAGUUAAUACCUUGCUGUUUUGACGUUACCAACAGAAUAAGCACCGGCUAACUUCGUG